GGUUCGAUGGCGUAGUUGGUUAUCGCAUCUGUCUAACAUUCGUUCACAGAAGGUCCCCAGUUCGAACCUGGGUCGAAUCA
rnacentral:tRNA from 1 species